rnacentral:rRNA from 1 species
AGCAGCCGCGGUAAUUCCAGCUCCAAUAGCGUAUAUUAAAGUUGUUGCAGUUAAAAGCUCGUAGUUGAAUUUCGGGGUUAGUAGGUUGGUCGUGCCACCGGUAUGUACUGGCUCUACUGAUCCCUCCUUCUUGUAGAACCGUAAUGCCAUUAACUUGGUGUUGCGGGGAAACAGGACUGUUACUUUGAAAAAUUAGAGUGUUUAAAGCAGGCUAACGCUUGAAUACAUUAGCAUGGAAUAAUGAAAUAGGACGCUCGAUCCUAUUUUGUUGGUUUCUAGGAUUGACGUAAUGAUUAAUAGGGAUAGUUGGGGGCAUUAGUAUUCAAUUGUCAGAGGUGAAAUUCUUGGAUUUAUUGAAGACUAACUACUGCGAAAGCAUUUGCCAAGGAUGUUUUCAUUAAUCAAGAACGAAAGUUAGGGAUCGAAGACGAUCAGAUACCGUCGUAGUCUUAACCAUAAACUAUGCCGACUAGGGAUCGGAUGAUGUUAAUUUUUAAUGUACUCAUUCGGCGCCUUACGG